rnacentral:tRNA from 1 species
GGUGGGUUGCCCGAGCGGCCUAAGGGAACGGUCUUGAAAACCGUCGAGGUGCAAACCUCCGUGGGUUCAAAUCCCACACCCACCGC